CGCCCAUUUCCUCCUUGUGCGCAAGCGAGCCGAGCCGCGUGGACUAAUUAAUUUGACACGCUCGCCCACCUGUGGAUUUGCUUUGCUCGAUUUUGGGCCUAGAAUGAGCGAAAAGAAUGAGGUUGCAUUUUGGAUUUGUGCAGUAGCAACGGAGCCAGCCCAUCGGACAUCACGAGCCGGGAGCGGCAGAAGAACAACUGAUGAAGGCGAGCGAGUGAGGCGCAAGACUGCACAAGGAAGGAAGAGAGAACUCUUCCAGAAAGGGAAGAGCGGAGACGAGGAGGCCGUCUGACUCACUGGGCCCUUUGACCGAGACGUUCAAUGUUCCACUGCCGGCGCCCUUGGUGAAAACUUUGAAGUCUGCAACCUCCUUUACUCUCACACCCUUGGGCUGGAGUCCUCGACCUGUGGCUCUGCAGGCGUUUGGAUUGAUGGCUGAAAGGAAUACCGAGUAUUUGGUUGUGGAUCUGUCGAGCGAAGGCUUCGGCCUGAUGGGCGCUGGCCAGACGUUCGUCCUCCAGCAGUCCUGAAGGAACACGAGGAACAUAUCAGUCGGGCCGGCCGGGCCAGCGGGAGAUGCUGCCACCACGUUGUCGUCAGGAAACAGCUGAGCGGUCCCGGUGGGGAGUCUGGAAGCUUCUCUUGAGUGUGCCCAGUUGUCCGUGGAAUGCGCUGCCGCCGCCGCCACACACGCACGCACACACGCACACGCAUGCACGCCAGUGAGAUGAGUGCAAGCCAUUACCCAGAAGGCUUUGCUAAAAGAUGACAUCACGGACAACAUAUAGUAUUUGGGGAGCGUCAUGUGGCUUUUAAUAGCGCAGCCAUCAUACAGGAACGAGCAACAAGAGAAAUCACAUGAGUAUGGAAGUGUGUUUGGAGGAAAGUGUGUUGAAAAAAAACCUCAUGUCAUAUGCCAAACAGGGUUGACAGUAUACAUAUCAAGCCAAACAGCGCCCCCUGCUGGAGCCCUGCCACACCGCAAAGGCGCGUCUCACCUUGCAGCUCCAGGAAGCCGUCGUGGUGCUUAGUCGACGUCUCCCUGGCGUCCUCCAGCUCCAGCAGCAGCUGCAGGACUUGAGCCCUCAGUUCCUCCAGCUCCUGUUCCUCCUGCUCCUCCUGCUUCUCGCUCAGCUCCCCGCCGCCGCCUCCGUCCUCCCCGUCUUUGGCGGCUCGCUCGGGCUCCAUCUCCAGCUUCUCGUCGCCGUCCUCCGGCACGUCUCUCUCCUCGGCCCCGCCGUCCGCUUUGAGCUCGCUCGGAUCACCUGAAGGAGACAUGAAAGGCACGGAGCGGCGGCAGCGGCAGAGGCGACAGCGGCCUCCAUUUGAAUAUUCAAAGUAGUGACACCUUUUCAUCAUGCCUGGAACUGAGAUGGUUGGCAGAAUGGAGCCAAAGCAGAGACGAACGAGGACCACGUGAAAAAAGGCUCUGGAGUGAGGCACUGGCGCGCACACAAAUUCUAUUGAGGGGACUAAAGUACUCUUACAUUGUGCUAGAGCAGAGCUACAGAUACUUGUUGAAAAUAAAAGUAUUCACUCA